rnacentral:rRNA from 1 species
ACGGGUGAGUAAUACGUGAGUAACCUGCCUUUGACUCUGGGAUAAGCCUGGGAAACUGGGUCUAAUACCGGAUAUGACAAGGAACCGCAUGGUUUUUUGUGGAAAGGGUUUGUACUGGUUUUAGAUGGGCUCACGGCCUAUCAGCUUGUUGGUGGGGUAAUGGCUCACCAAGGCGACGACGGGUAGCCGGCCUGAGAGGGUGACCGGCCACACUGGGACUGAGACACGGCCCAGACUCCUACGGGAGGCAGCAGUGGGGAAUAUUGCACAAUGGGCGCAAGCCUGAUGCAGCGACGCCGCGUGAGGGAUGACGGCCUUCGGGUUGUAAACCUCUUUCAGCAGGGAAGAAGCGAAAGUGACGGUACCUGCAGAAGAAGCGCCGGCUAACUACGUGCCAGCAGCCGCGGUAAUACGUAGGGCGCGAGCGUUGUCCGGAAUUAUUGGGCGUAAAGAGCUUGUAGGCGGUUUGUUGCGUCUGCUGUGAAAGACCGGGGCUUAACCCCGGUAUUGCAGUGGGUACGGGCAGACUAGAGUGCAGUAGGGGAGACUGGAAUUCCUGGUGUAGCGGUGAAAUGCGCAGA